ACUAGACAAAUGACUUCUGUUCCCAAAUCUCCAUUGAAAAGUGUUAAGAGUAGACUUGGAGUAUUUCAAAGGUUUUAAUAUUUUAACUGUGUGCUGUAAAGGGCGUUGGUGAUGGUGGACAUAGCCGCCGACCUGAGCACUCUGUGUUUUGAGAGCGGGCUCGCUGACGACGAAAAGAAGUUACUUUACCUCCGUGCGCGCUCGGCUGGACUGACAUUUUGCGGGUGUGCGCACGCAGCUUUCGUGUGUGAACUCAUCGACUCGCUAAGAUGUGCCAUCAAAAGGCGCACAGCUAAAAUCAGAAAGCCAGUGGCACCAGGAGAGGACGACGACCUCCGCGUGGGCAUACUUGGGAUGGGCCAUCUGGGAAAACGGCUGUGCCUAGCACUUCUUGAAAAGACAAAAAUAAAACCCUCAAAUAUUAAGAUCUCCACUAGGAGACCAGAGUUAGCAGUGGAAUUUGUCCAUACAGAAGUUGAAUGUUUCUUUGACAAUCGCAGACUGGCAGCAUGGGCGGAUGUUCUUUUCCUUUGCUGUCUUCCCUCUCAAAUCCCGAAAGUCUGCAUUGAUCUCUGCUCUCAUCUGGCAAAACACUGCCUUGUGUACAGUUUCACCUCUGCCAUUCCCGUCACCAAAUUAGCUAAGCUUCUUGGACACGACUACAUCCUGAAGCCGAAGUAUGACGUUGUCUCUUGUGACACUGUGGAUGUUUGGCUGUCCUGCAGUCCCGUGGCCACAGCUUUAUCAGAUCCUUUGCUGAUAGAAGCAUCGUGUCCUCUCACAAUGAAAGGAGGUAUUUCUCUGGGUCUGAACUGGGUGUGUGCGGUGCUGUAUAUCCUGUUGAAUAUCUGCACCUCUGCCAGUCUGGGAUCCAAUGAGGCUCUCCUCUUAAUUAAAUCAAUAUUUAAAGAGAAAUGUGGAGACACUGUGCAAUUAAAUGCACACAGUUUCAUCAAUUCAUCCUAUGCAUCUUCUCUUCUCUCAGAUGAGCCUUUUCCCUGGAUUUCACUUACGGAUGCCCAGAUCAGGGAGACCCCGCUGCUGUGCUUUCUAUCAAGCAGUAAAUCUGUGCAACAGCGCCUCUCUGCAGCUUAUAAAUCCCAGAUGGAGACACCAGCAAAGUGACACACUGAUCAGCCACAGCAUUAAAAUCACUAAUAGGUGAACUCAGUCUCUGUGAUGAAAAAAUCUGCUGGGAAACCGCACAGAAGCCCCGUGGCACCCUGUCACAUUCAAAGACUGCUCAAAUUGAGUGGGGAAUAAGUAGCUUAAUAGAUGGCAACCCAAACCUGCAAAGGGUACAUUCAUGGUGUUAGCUACUGAACACUGACCCAUCACUGACCCACUCAUGGAUGAACAAGUGUUGUCUUUAUACAUCACAGGCAACUUGGGAAAGAACCAAUUUUAAAUUGUAUCUGUAGCUGCUUUGGUGUUGGCAGCCUCUUGCAAAAAACCUGGACCUUCAUCUACUGUUCACUGUAGCCUCGUCAGUAAAGAUCUCAAUGGAAAGACUUCUGUCAAGAAGCCAAUCUUAAAUAAGGAAAAUGGGGAGAAACAGCUGAAGUAUACCAAAUUACACACCAAAUGAACUGAAGACAGGUGCGAUGGAGUAAUGAAUCCAGAUGUGACAUACAGAGGAGAUCAGGGGUGAGGUACAACAGUGAGUGUCUACAGCCAUCUGCAAGACAUGGUGGAGGCACUGUCAUGGUUUGGGUUUGCAUUUAAGCCAGUGGUGUUGGUGAUCUUGUUGAAAUUAAUGGAACAACAUUAGGUUUGAUUGCCAAAAGCUUCAUUUUUCAGCAUGACGAUGAUCCCACACGCACUGCCAAUGCAUUAAGAGCAUACUACGCACAUGGGAACACUGUCAGUCAUGGAUCGCCUCCCCAGAUCCUGGACCUCGACAAUAUUGAAACAGUGUGGGAUCAUCUCGACAGGGAAUGGAACAAAAAUACAGCCAACAUCUAGAGAAGAGCUUUCAAGACUGCUUAAAGAAAUAACAAGAAAGCUUGCCUAAGAGAGUUGUAGUUGGACAAACUCUGCUUUUGUCUUACGUGUUGUCUUUCCAUGUAUACACAUGUUUUAAUACAUUUUUUAUUGCUUUCCUAGAUUUUCCCAGUAAAAUAAGAAAAAAGGGGGUGCCUCAAGACCUUUGCAGAGUACUGUAUCAUGAGAAAAAACACUUAAAACUGAAAAAAAGAUAGUUGUUAGAUUUUGUUAAAUAAUCUGUGUUUGUGAUUUGGCUUUGGGACAUAUACUUUUAAACUGGUUUAAAUAUUAAGCAGCGGCAUAUGUCCUCAGAGGA